AUUGAACGCUGGCGGCAUGCCUUACACAUGCAAGUCGAACGGCAGCACGGGAGCAAUCCUGGUGGCGAGUGGCGAACGGGGUGAGUAAUAUAUCGGAACGUGCCCAGUCUGGGGGAUAACGUAGCGAAAGCUACGCUAAUACCGCAUACUAUCUAUGGAUGAAAGCGGGGGGAUCGCAAGACCUCGCGCGAUUGGAGNGGCCGAUAUCAGAUUAGGUAGUUGGUGAGGUAAAGGCUCACCAAGCCGACGAUCUGUAGCUGGUCUGAGAGGACGACCAGCCACACUGGGACUGAGACA
rnacentral:rRNA from 1 species